AUGCAACCUGCUUUCCUUCUUGCAUGGCUACUCCUGGUACCAUAUAUGCCUUUUGGGUUAAAAAGCAUUCGACCCACUUUUGCAAGAGCAGUACAGACUAGCUUUGAGUCCCAGCUGCACAAGAAUAUUGAAACCUACAUGGUCGAUAUAGUGGUCAAAACCAAGGACAAAUCGUCUCUCAUUCAUGACUUGGAAGAGACCUUUGGAAAUCUAUGCAAGAUCAACUUGAAGCUGAACCCAGAGAAGUGUGUGCUUGGCGUUCCUUCCGGCAAGCUACUUGGCUUCUUUGUCUCCGACCAGGGGAUAGAGGCCAACCCCGACAAUAUCGAGGCGAUUGAGCAGAUUGAAGCACCCAAGACAGUUAAAGAUGUGAGGCGUUCGACUGGAUGUGUUGCCGCGUUGAGCGGGUUCAUUUCCAAGACUUCCAAGCACACCCUGCCGUUCUUCAAAAUAUUGAAGAAGGUAGGGCAGGUGGAGUGGACCCCAAAGGCAGAUGUUGUGCUGCAAGGUUUGAAGACCUAUCUUUCCUCUGUUUCCACCGUAGUCGCUCCUAAACCACAAGAGCCAUUGUUGCUAUACCUAGAGGCAACUAAUCAAGUGGUUAGUGCAACGUUGGUUGCAUAG
rnacentral:rRNA from 1 species